GACGAACGCUGGCGGCGUGCCUAAUACAUGCAAGUCGAGCGGAUUGAUGGGAGCUUGCUCCCUGAUAUCAGCGGCGGACGGGUGAGUAACACGUGGGCAACCUGCCUAUAAGACUGGGAUAACUUCGGGAAACCGGAGCUCAUAACGGAUAAUCCCUUUCCUCUCAUGAGGAAAGGCUGAAAGAUGGUUUACGCUAUCACUUAUAGAUGGACCCGCGUCGCAUUAGCUAGUUGGGGAGGUAACGGCUCACCAAGGCAACGAUGCGUAGCCGACAUGAGAGGGUGAUCGGCCACACUGGGACUGAGAAACGGCCCAGACUCCUACGGGAGGCAGCAGUAGGGAAUCUUCCGCAAUGGACGAAAGUCUGACGGAGCAACGCCGCGUGAGUGAUGAAGGUUUUCGGAUCGUAAACCUCUGUUGUUAGGGAAGAACAAGUACGAGAGUAACUGCUCGUACCUUGACGGUACCUAACCAGAAAGCCACGGCUAACUACGUGCCAGCCGCCGCAGUAA
rnacentral:rRNA from 1 species